rnacentral:rRNA from 1 species
UACGAAGGGGGCUAGCGUUGUUCGGAAUCACUGGGCGUAAAGCGCACGUAGGUGGAUCUUUAAGUCAGGGGUGAAAUCCCGAGGCUCAACCUCGGAACUGCCUUUGAUACUGGGGAUCUCGAGUCCGGGAGAGGUGAGUGGAACUGCGAGUGUAGAGGUGAAAUUCGUAGAUAUUCGCAAGAACACCAGUGGCGAAGGCGGCUCACUGGCCCGGAACUGACGCUGAGGUGCGAAAGCGUGGGGAGCAAACAGG